ensembl:lncRNA
AUGGAUCCCAGCCACUCUAUCAAUCAGCCUCCAGGGUCUUCAAAUUCAUCUGAGAAAUCAGGGAUGCCAGAAGCGCCACCACCAGCAUACCAGCACAAUCCUGCUGUAUAUCCUCCCACCUUUCUGAACCAGCCGGUCCCCCAGGGCCCGUACACCCAGGGGCCAUAUCCAGGACAGCCUGUGGUCACUGUGCAGCCUGCUGUUUUUGUGACCGCCGCUCCACUGGCCAAUCCAGUGCCAGAUUACCUGGCCUAUUCCAUCUUCACCAUGCUGUGCUGCUGCUUACCUCUGGGCAUUGCUGCACUGAUUUACUCCAUCUCUACUCGAGAUGCCAACUUCGCAGGACAGCGAGAAUUAGCAGAGAAGAACUCCAAAACGGCGCUCACCCUGAAUCACCUCGGCCUUGGUAUUGGCCUCGUUAUCAUUGUAUUGAUCAUCAUCAGCCAGAUUGUGAUUUUGUCUGUUAGAUAAAGGCUGUUAGAGUUAACAUGGUUGUGACAACCAUGACAAAAGGAUGUUUUCUGUAUUAAUUUUUCUGUGUUUUAAAUGUUACUUUAACAAUUUAUCAUUGUUGUACGUUUAAAUAAACUUAUAUAAAAUGUUUAAAUGUGUUCUUCUGAUCUUUUGCUUAUGUUAAAUAUAUUGUGUAGCUGUGCAAAUUAUAUAUGGAUAGAUAGGAGUUUCACAAAUAACAGUCUUUAAUAAUCCACUACCAUGUUAACAAGGUAGGCAUGAACAAACACAUAGCACUAGAAAAGAAAACACUGGACAAAGGAACCAAGGGACAGACAACACUUUAAAUACAGAACUAAACAAGGGUAAUUAAUGGGACACACCUAAAUUAAUUGACAAAAUGAAACAUGAGGGAAAACUAGGUCACAGAGCACAUGGGCAAGGGAAACACCAAAACAGGUCCAUAAUCCUAACAAUCACACUGUGUCGUUUGAUUAACAAAAAUAAAGCCAAGAUGGAAAAGCUGUGCGUGACAAAGUUAGGACACCCUAUGAUUCAGCUUCCUGUAGAUCCACUUUUAAUCAUUUUCUGUAUGACUUCUGUAGCAGUCUCUCAAAUAUCGUUCUGGAAGAAUUUUGGCCCACUCUUCUUUACAACGAUGCUCCAGGUUUUUUUUUUUUUUUUUUUUUUUUUUUUUGCUAUCACAGAACCUUGAUUAUUUUCUUUUCAGCCAUUCUGUUGAAAAUUUGCUGGGAUCAACAGGGAUCAUUGUCCUGUUGCAUCACCAAAUCUUGCCCAAGCUUUAGCUCUAGAAUACUUUGUUAUACAGUUCAUGAUUGACUCAAUGACUGUGAGGUGCCCAGGUCCCGUGGCUAUAAACAAGCCAAAAUCAUCUGCCCUCCACCAGAACGUGUGACUUUUUGAUAUGAGGUUUCUGUGCUGAUAUGCUUGUUAGGUUUCCACCAAACGUGCAGCUGUGCAUUAUGGCCACACAUCUCCACUUUGGUCUUAUCUGUUCAAAGAAGUCUUAUGGUUUAUUCAGAUACAACAUUGCUGCCAUGUUCGUUUAGAUAGAAGAAUACUUUUUUUUCUGGCAUGCAUUCCAAACAUGCCAUACUUGUCCAAUAUUUUUCUAACUGUACUGUCAUGAAUUUGAUAAUUUAACAUGUUAACUGGGGCAUGUGGAGUCUGCGAUGAAGUUCUUGGGUUGUCUGCCAUUUCUCUGAGCGUUACACAGUCUAAGUGCAUUAUGUCAUGUGUUGUUGUCUAACUGAGGUUUUCAUUUCCAAAUUGUAAGACCUGGAAAGAACCAUUUUUUUUAUUAGUAUUAUGUCCUUAUAAGGAAAACCAUAGAAUUCAAUGGGAUGUCCUAACUUUUUCACUUGACUGUAUAUAUAUAUAUAUAUAUAUAUAUAUAUAUAUAUAUAUAUAUAUAUAUAUAUAUAUAUAUAUUAAUUGAUAAGUAGGUGUAUAGUAGUAGGUUAUUAUUUCUGUGUAAGUUGUUGAUAUCAAUGCAGAACCAUUUGAACAUGCUUUUUCAAAAAAACAUUCACUCUAUACUGCAUUAUAAAAAUCCCCCACAUUGAUCCCACGUAUUAUGAGUGAUUCAGUUCUUAAGUGAACACUGAAUACAGCAGUAAUAACUAAUAAUUUUUUCAAACUUUACAUAGCGCUUUAAACAAUUUCAUAGCUAAAAAUGAGAUAGAGUGACUGCCAAGAAGGCUAUGUGAGCCUGUUUAAAAGUCUGUAAAAGCUCAAGCUGUGUUUGUGGUCACAGUAUGUAAACAGGACAUAACUGUCAUGCUCCACUGAUAAAGUAUGUGUACAAGUGGUUGGGUGUUCUUGUUUCUUGGUUUUUGGUUCCUGAUUUUUGGACCUUAGAAAGUACAAGAGAAGAAAGGCUCCAGGCCCAGACGGUUACUGAGCAAACGGAUCUGUGGACGAUGCAGUCAACAUGGGACUGCACCACAUCAUGCAGCAUCUGGACAGAACAGGAUCCUGUUUGUGGAUUUCAGCUGGGCUUUCAACACUAUCAUUACAAAUCUCCUACUGUCCAAACUAACUCAGCUCUCCAUGCCCACCUCCGUCUGUUAGUGGAUCACCAGCUUUCUGACAGACAGACAACAGCUACUGUAGUAAAGCUGGGAAAAUUCUCAUCUGGCACCCAUACAAUCAGCACUGGAGCUCCUCAGGGUUGUGUCUUCACCCCAAUACUCUUCUCCUUGUACAUCAGUGACUGCACAUCUCAAGACCCCACUGUCAAGCACCUGAAGUUUGCAGACAACACAACAGUAUCAGCCUCAUUCAGACUGCUGACGAGUAGACAGGAGGUCUAAGAACCUGCUGUCUGGUGCAGUCUCAAAACAGUGGAGAUGACUGUGGACUUGAGGAGAAUUAUCAGGACAUUAUCAAGAAGGUUAUUCCAGAGUUUGGGAGCCAAAUGCGAAAAAGCUCUACCUUCUUUAGUGGACUUUGCUGUCUUAGGUACUACCAAGAGUUUAGAGUUUUGUGACCUUUGGGAGUGUGAUCGAUUGUAGCGUGGUAGAAUACUAGUUAAUUACGCAGGAGCUAAACCAUUAAGGGCCUUAGGCAGUGUUGGGCAGCAGUAACGCGUUACUGUAAUUUGAUGACUUUUUUAGUAACUGCGUAAUAAUUUUCAAAAUGGUAAUUAGAGUAGUUACAAGCCGAGGUCUCUAUACAUUACUGCCGCAUUACAUUGCUAACAGAAUGCAGUGUUUUAUAAUGUAGAGAUUGUAAAAAGGAUGUAGUAGGGCUACACUUACUGUUGAGUCAAGUGCCAGUGGAUUAGAGACCUGCUCCCGUGAGCCCCUACACAACAUCAGCAUACAGAUGCACGAGUGCUGGUGCGAGAGGGUAGACACUCGUGUGUGCAGGAUCCGUGAGAACUAAAUGAUUCACAGGCUUACUUAAAUAUAAAUAUUUAAACAUUAAAUAUCUAAAACAAAUAAAUAUUUAUUCAUCUAUUGCACAAAUGCAACAUGAACUAAUAUAAAUGAUUUUGUUUAUGAACAUGGUGGUGUGGUCAUACAACUUCAAACCGGACACUAAUCUGAGCUGUUCACAUUAUACAAAUGCUCCAGAUAUGUAAUCAGUUCCACCCUUUUGGAAUGGUAAACAUGACACUAUUCAUCACCUUAAGAAAUAAAUGAUAUGCAAAUCCGGCGUCAAACUGGGCCUUGUUUGUAAAACAAGCAUCUUCGAAAUGCAGGGAACAAACACAAACACUUGCACAACUCCGUUGAUGCUCUGUAAAAAUAAACUCCAUCCACUGGUCCCUUAAUGCUGUUUUUUCUUUGGUAAUCUGUGCAGGGUUGUCUUGCCCUGGCAACCAAAAACACACUCCUUUUGUGACAUUUCGCGACGCUCUCGCUCUGAUCAGUGAAUGUCUGUGCUCUCUCAUUGCUCUGCUAUAUGGGAGCGCGCGCUCUUCCGGCAGAAGUGCCCUUAGGACCCAUAUAAGGAAAUUCCGCUCCAUCUAAUGUCACACAGAGCCAUACUCGAAAAAAACUUUCCGAAACUUGUGACAAACCAGAAGGAGUAUUUUUGGAACAGAAAUACUCCUUCAAACGUACAACUUAAUUUUUGAAACUUUGUCCAUGUUUAGCAUAGUAAACAUGUCACUAUUCAUCACGCACACAAAUACAUAAUUUAAUAUUGUGAUAAUUGACAUGGUUUUUGCUGUUAAUCUUUUUUUUUUUUUUUUUUUUGUAACAAAUUGCACUUCAUGUGUUUACAGAUUUGUGCAGAAUUUGAGACAUACAGAAUUACCAUAGGCCCAUUAGAAUCAACAAUCUUUGCCAAAAUGGAUCCACACUGCAAAACUUAUGAAGAUGUUUGCAUACUGAAGAAGAGUGCUUGGACAAAUAAUUAAACCAUCUUGGUGCCCACUACACAG